GGGGGUGUAGUCUAGCUUGGUAUGAUACUUGCUUUGGGAGCAAGUGGUCCCCAGUUCGAAUCUGGGCACCCCCACCA
rnacentral:tRNA from 1 species